rnacentral:lncRNA from 1 species
GUUGUGUCCUUGGAAGCUGAAUGAAGAACCGGCUUGCAAAGGAGAAGCGCGUGCAGUCCCGGCGCGGCCCGCUCUGCUCAGUUCUCCAGGGCGGGCCUUGGCCUGGACUGCGUGUCGGGAGGACUCGCGGGCCCCGCAUUGCCGCAUGCCACCGGCAGGUGUCUCUUUCCUGGCUUGGGAACCUAUUAACUGUCCGGUCAUUCAUGAGGAUGAGUGUCCCCAGAUGUGCCUGUCUCAGGGCACCCUCUCCUGGGCACACCUGAUUGGAUCAAGCUGUGCACCUGACCCAGGCUGGGACAACCAAAUUCCCUCUCCCAGGAAUCUGGUAUUGGACUGAGGACAGCCACUCACCUUUGGCUAAUCUCUUUAGGAGAGAAGAUGUAGAUGUGAUAGUUGUUGAGGGAUUAUCCUCUGCCCAGCUACUCACAGAGAAGAAAGUGGAUUGCAGAGGGAGACACGAAGCAGAGAAGAAAGCUGGAGAAGGUGGACUGUCUAGGUUCCUAGCAGCUUCUCGGGCUACCUUGAGGCCAUCUGCCCUUGGACUUCAUGAGAUACUGCUAUACUCUUCUAUGUCCCUUAAUGCUUACGUCAGCUCAAGUUGAUUACUUCCAACCAAAAGGACUUAACUCAGACAAGGACAAAGCCAAGACCAUCAGUGAGGUUUUUUUCUUUAUAACCAGGUCCCUUACAGCAUCCUGGGGAGCACUGUAGGUCCUAAAUACACAUUAUUCACAUUAUUCACUCUCCAAAGGCUUCCAUUAGGCAAAAACAUCUUCUCAUCCAAGGCCAACUAGAUUAGGAAAUGGCAUUUCUUAUGGCUUUCCAUCCCCAGAGGGCAAAUGCACAGAUGACUGCAGUUAGCAAUUGACUCUGUGGGUUAGUAUUUGCUGAGGGCACACACCCUGAGACUUGAAUGACAGAAAUCCCCAGGUGCCAAGGAGGAGACUGGCAAUUAUGCCUCCAAUCACCUCCCUGUUCUGCCGCCCUCUAAAUCAGCACUCCCCACCGCGGUGACCCUCAAUGACUGGCAAGACGACCCAUUUUUAAAGGGCCAAUUUUUAACAGCUGGAAACAAUAAACGUCGUGGGAGGUGAAGAUGCUGGGAGGACUGAUUUCUCCUUCGCUGUUUUCAAAAGUCAAAAGAUGCUGGGUGUAAUGGCAACAGCCACAGAAAGUUAGCACAACUCCUGCCACGGAGCAGCUGUGUGAUGGUGGCUUCCCCAGUCCCCCUCCCUGGGCCUCGGUUCUUACAGCUGCAAAAUGAGGAGGUAGAAUGAGAUGCUCUUUAAUAUCCCUUUCAUCUUCAACUUUCUAC